rnacentral:rRNA from 1 species
AGAUUGAACGCUGGCGGCAUGCCUUACACAUGCAAGUCGAACGGCAGCACGGGAGCAAUCCUGGUGGCGAGUGGCGAACGGGUGAGUAAUAUAUCGGAACGUGCCCAGUCGUGGGGGAUAACGCAGCGAAAGCUGUGCUAAUACCGCAUACGAUCUAUGGAUGAAAGCGGGGACAGC